CACGUAGGGCGCAAGCGUUGUCCGGAAUUAUUGGGCGUAAAGAGCUCGUAGGCGGUCUGUUGCGUCCGCUGUGAAAACUCGGGGCUUAACCCCGAGCCUGCAGUGGAUACGGGCAGACUAGAGGUAGGUAGGGGAGAAUGGAAUUCCUGGUGUAGCGGUGAAAUGCGCAGAUAUCAGGAAGAACACCCGUGGCUAAGGCGGCUCUCUAGUACGGUACUGACGCUGAGACGCGAAAGCGUGGGGAGCGAACAGG
rnacentral:rRNA from 1 species